rnacentral:rRNA from 1 species
ACCGAAUAGAUACCCCGGUAGUCCACGCCCUAAACGAUGCGAACUGGAUGUUGGGUACAUUACGGUACUCAGUGUCGAAAGCUAAACGCGUUAAGUUCGCCGCCUGGGGAGUACGGUCGCAAGACUGAAACUCAAAGGAAUUGACGGGGGCCCGGCACAAGCGGUGGAGUAUGUGGUUUAAUUCGAUGCAACGCGAAGAACCUUACCUGGCCUUGACAUCUGUCGAAUCCUGCAGAGAUGCGGGAGUGCCGCAAGGAACGACAAGACAGGUGCUGCAUGGCUGUCGUCAGCUCGUGUCGUGAGAUGUUGGGUUAAGUCCCGCAACGAGCGCAACCCUUGUCCCUAGUUGCCAGCACGUAAUGGUGGGAACUCUAGGGAGACUGCCGGUGACAAACCGGAGGAAGGUGGGGAUGACGUCAAGUCCUCAUGG